ensembl:lncRNA
CUCUGUACCCCACACAUGGGUAAAAUAAAAAGCAGACAUUGAAUAUCCCUUUGAGCAUGGUGAAGUUAUUAAUUACACUUUGGAUGGUGUAUCAAUACACCCAGUCACUACAAAGAUACAGGUGUCCUUCCUAACUCAGUUACCGGAGAGGAAGGAAACCACUCAGGGAUUUCACCAAUGGUGACUUUAAAACAGUUACAGAGUUUAAUGGCUGUGAUAGGAGAAAACUGAGGAUGGAUCAACAACAUUGUAGUUACUCCACAAUACUAAUUUAGAUGACAGAGUGAAAAGAAGGACGCCUGUACAGAAUAAAAAUAUUCCAAAACAUGCAUCCUGUUUGCAACAAGGCACUAAAGUAAUACUGCAAUAAAGGUGGCAAAGAAAUGAACUGUCCUGAAUACAAACCGUUAUGUUUGGGGCAAAUCCAACACGUCACUGAGUAAAACUCUUUCUAUUUCCAAGCAUGGUGGUGGCUGCAUCAGGUUGUGGGUAUGUUUGUCAUCAGCAAGGACUAGGGAGAUUUUCAGGAUAAAAAUAAAUGGAAUAGAGCUAAGGACAGGAAAAACCUGGUUCAGUCUGCUUUCCAACAGACACUGGGAGAUGAAUUCACCUUUCAGCAGGACAGUAACCUAAGACAAGGCCAAAUAUACACUGCAGUUUUGACUUAAAUCGUCUUGAAAAUAUAUGUCAAGACUUGAAAAUGGCUGUCUAGCAAUGAUCAACAACCAACAAUCCAGGUGUGCAAAGCUCUUAGAGACUGACCCAGAAAGACUCACAGCUGUAAUCACUGUCGAAGGUGAUCCUAACAUGUAUUGACUCAGCUUGGUUGAAUACUUAAAUUAGAUACUUCUGUAUUUCAUUCAAGGGGUAUAAAAACCAGUUUUCCUUUUGUCAUUAUUAGAUGGGUGAGAAAAGAAGGAUAUCAUAAUUAUAUUGAAUCCAUUUUGAAUUGAGGCUCUAACACAACAAAAUGUAGAAUAGGUCAAGGGGUUUGAAUGCUUUCUGAAGACACUGACUGAACCACGAGACAAAGAUACUACACAGAACCCAGAUACUCUACUUUAGAACAAAGAUGCUACACAGAACCCAGAUACUCUACUUCAGAACAAAGAUACUACACAGAACCCAGAUACUCUACUUCAGAACAAAGAUGCUACACAGAACCCAGAUACUCUACUUCAGAACAAAGAUGCUGCACAGAACCCAGAUACUCUACUUCAGAACAAAGAUGCUACACAGAACCCAGAUACUCUACUUCAGAACAAAGAUGCUGCACAGAAAGAUCCCAUAGACCACACCUGGACAGGAAGUGAAUAUCAAUGUUUUUUUGAGAAGAGUUAGUUUCAGUGUUCCCAACAGACAGAGACCCCGAGACCAGACGUUCAAACAAAUAUUGAAACACUUUGAGCGUUUGUUUUAGCCUGCCUGAAGUGCCAAAUGGGCGGGGUUUAAGGUUUUGGGACUAUUCGAUUGGUCCAUUAAUCCAGACAAGCUCAAUCAAGCACAGAUAAAAAUGAUGAAUUUAUUUCAUAUAGUAAAUCUCUGAAAUUAUAUUCUUUGAACCCAGGCGUAUGACAUAUUUCUCUGAGUCCAUGUGAGAUGUAAUGUAGAGCUGGUGUUACGCGGAACAAAUUAAGGUGCUACAAUAUUACUCCUUUUGUAGUGUGUAGUGUGUGUGUAGUGUGUGGUGUUUAGUUGCUGGGCUGAAUGGGGUCCACUGGUAGCUGUAGUUGAAUAGGUUUCCUCAGGCGUUUCAGAUCACUCUCCACC